rnacentral:rRNA from 1 species
CUAAGGAGACUGCCGGUGGACAAACCGGAGGAAGGUGGGGAUGACGUCAAGUCAUCAUGGCCCUUACGGCCUGGGCUACACACGUGCUACAAUGGUCGGUACAAAGGGCUGCCAAGCCGCGAGGUGGAGCUAAUCCCAUAAAACCGAUCGUAGUCCGGAUCGCAGUCUGCAACUCGACUGCGUGAAGUCGGAAUCGCUAGUAAUCGUGAAUCAGAAUGUCACGGUGAAUACGUUCCCGGGCCUU